AGUGAACGCUGGCGGUAGGCCUAACACAUGCAAGUCGAGCGGCAGCACAGUAAGAGCUUGCUCUUACGGGUGGCGAGUGGCGGACGGGUGAGGAAUACAUCGGAAUCUACUUUUUCGUGGGGGAUAACGUAGGGACACUUACGCUAAUACCGCAUACGACCUACGGGUGAGAUCAUGGGAUCUUCGGACCUUGCGCGAUUGAAUGAGCCGAUGUCGGAUUAGCUAGUUGGCGGGGUAAAGGCCCACCAAGGCGACGAUCCGUAGCUGGUCUGAGAGGAUGAUCAGCCACACUGGAACUGAGACACGGUCCAGACUCCUACGGGAGGCAGCAGUGGGGAAUAUUGGACAAUGGGCGCAAGCCUGAUCCAGCCAUACCGCGUGGGUGAAGAAGGCCUUCGGGUUGUAAAGCCCUUUUGUUGGGAAAGAAAAGCAGCAGGUUAAUACCCCGCUGUUCUGACGGUACCCAAAGAAUAAGCACCGGCUAACUUCGUG
rnacentral:rRNA from 1 species